AAUAGAAUUUAAUAAUUCGUAGUUAGAUUGUAAAUCUAACUACGAAUUCAUCAAAUUCUUUUAUUA
rnacentral:tRNA from 1 species